rfam:Synechococcus sp. RCC307 genomic DNA sequence.
CGCGGGGUAGAGCAGCCUGGUAGCUCGUCGGGCUCAUAACCCGAAGGUCGGGAGUUCAAAUCUCCCCCCCGCCA